rnacentral:rRNA from 1 species
AAUAGAUACCCCGGUAGUCCACGCCGUAAACGAUGAGUGCUAGGUGUUAGGGGGUUUCCGCCCCUUAGUGCUGCAGCAAACGCAUUAAGCACUCCGCCUGGGGAGUACGGCCGCAAGGCUGAAACUCAAAGGAAUUGACGGGGGCCCGCACAAGCGGUGGAGCAUGUGGUUUAAUUCGAAGCAACGCGAAGAACCUUACCAGGUCUUGACAUCCUCUGACAACCCUAGAGAUAGGGCUUCUCCUUCGGGAGCAGAGUGACAGGUGGUGCAUGGUUGUCGUCAGCUCGUGUCGUGAGAUGUUGGGUUAAGUCCCGCAACGAGCGCAACCCUUGAUCUUAGUUGCCAUCAUUAAGUUGGGCACUCUAAGGUGACUGCCGGUGACAAACCGGAGGAAGGUGGGGAUGACGUCAAAUCAUCAUGCCCCUUAUGACCUGGGCUACACACGUGCUACAAUGGACGGUACAAAGAGCUGCAAGACCGCGAGGUGGAGCUAAUCUCAUAAAACCGUUCUCAGUUCGGA